GACGAACGCUGGCGGCGUGCUUAACACAUGCAAGUCGAACGGACAGGCCCUGCUCUUGUGGGGUGCUCGAGUGGCGAACGGGUGAGUAACACGUGAGUAACAUGCACCUGACUUUGGGAUAACUUCAGGAAACUGGGGCUAAUACCGGAUAGGAGCUCCUGCUGCAUGGUGGGGGUUGGAAAGUUGCGGCGGUUGGGGAUGGACUCGCGGCUUAUCCGCUUGUUGGUGGGGUAGUGGCUUACCAAGGCUUUGACGGGUAGCCGGCCUGAGAGUGUGACCGGCCACAGUGUGACUGAGAUACGGCCCAGAGUCCUACGUGAGGCAGCGGUGGAGAAUAGUGCACAAUGGGCGGAGGGCUGAUGCAGCAUCUCCGCGUGCGAGAUGACUGCCUUCGGGUUGUAAACCACGUUCGCCUGUGACGAAGCGUGAGUGACGGAAAUGAGUAAAGAAGCACCGGCUAACUACGU
rnacentral:rRNA from 1 species